UGAGUAACCUGCCCUUAACUCUGGGAUAAGCCUGGGAAACUGGGUCUAAUACCGGAUAUGACUCCUCAUCGCAUGGUGGGGGGUGGAAAGCUUUAUUGUGGUAUUGGAUGGACUCGCGGCCUAUCAGCUUGUUGGUGAGGUAAUGGCUCACCAAGGCGACGACGGGUAGCCGGCCUGAGAGGGUGACCGGCCACACUGGGACUGAGACACGGCCCAGACUCCUACGGGAGGCAG
rnacentral:rRNA from 1 species